rnacentral:lncRNA from 1 species
GUCCCCCACAUGCAUGAGAGUGGCAAAAGAUAAGCAUACUUUGAUACUCACUGUCAGGGACACAACGUCGAAUAACUUGAUCAGGAUAAUGUUUGAACAAUUCGGAUUCCUCCCGAUAAUAAUGUUUAACCUAUGAGAAGAAUCGAUCCUUCUCUUGUUUUGUCCAAUGGAAAGAAACUUGCCCUAUUGCCAAAUAGUUAAUGAUGUGGGCAAACCAUGGAAUU